GUAUAUGGCCAUGCUAUCGUGAACAUGGUCAAUCUCAUCUAAUCUUGGAAGACAAGCAGGACCAGGCCUGCUUAGUGCUAGGAUAAGAGGGAAGGGAAUGCUUAUGUCAGAGCCCAGGUCUCAACAACU
rnacentral:rRNA from 1 species